AGUGAACGCUGGCGGCAUGCCUAACACAUGCAAGUCGAACGGCAGCACAGUAAUCGCUUGCUCUUCGGGGUGCCAAGUGGCGGACGAGUCAUGAAUACAUCGCAAUCUACUUUUUCGUGGGGGAUAACGUCGGGAAACUUACGCUAAUCCCGCAUACGACCUACGGGGGAGAGCAGGGGAUCUUCGGACCUUGCGGGAGUGAAUGAGCCGAUGUCGGAUUAGCUAGGUGGCGGGGUAAAGGCCCACCAAGGCGAAGAUCUGUAGCUGGUCUGAGAGGAUGAUCAGCCACACUGGAACUGAGACACGGUCCAGACUCCUACGGGAGGCAGCAGUGGGGAAUAUUGGACAAUGGGCGAAAGCCUGAUCCAGCAAUACUGCGUGUGUGAAGAAGGCCUUCGGGUUGUAAAGCCCUUUUGUUGGGAAAGAAAAGAAGCGGGUUAAUACCACGCUGUUAUGACGGUACCCAAAGAAUAAGCACCGGCUAACUUCGUG
rnacentral:rRNA from 1 species